rnacentral:rRNA from 1 species
UACAGAGACUGCAAGCGUUAUUCGGAUUCACUGGGCGUAAAGGGUGCGCAGGCGGUCGGGUGUGUCAGAUGUGAAAUCCCGAGGCUCAACCUCGGAACUGCGUCUGAAACUACUCGACUAGAGUACUGGAGAGGGUAACGGAAUUCACGGUGUAGCAGUGAAAUGCGUAGAUAUCGUGAGGAACACCAGAGGCGAAGGCGGUUACCUGGACAGUUCCUGACGCUGAGGUGCGAAAGCGUGGGGAGCAAACAGG